UUAAGCGACCAAGCGUACACGGUGGAUGCCCUGGCAGUCAGAGGCGAUGAAGGACGUGCUAAUCUGCGAAAAGCGCCGGUAAGGUGAUAUGAACCGUUAUAACCGGCGAUGUCCGAAUGGGGAAACCCAGUGUGACUCGUCACACUAUCAUUAACUGAAUCCAUAGGUUAAUGAGGCGAACCGGGGGAACUGAAACAUCUAAGUACCCCGAGGAAAAGAAAUCAACCGAGAUUCCCCCAGUAGCGGCGAGCGAACGGGGAGGAGCCCAGAGCCUGAAUCAGCAUGUGUGUUAGUGGAAGCGUCUGGAAAGGCGCGCGAUACAGGGUGACAGCCCCGUACACAAAAGCGCAUGUGCUGUGAGCUCGAUGAGUAGGGCGGGACACGUGGUAUCCUGUCUGAAUAUGGGGGGACCAUCCUCCAAGGCUAAAUACUCCUGACUGACCGAUAGUGAACCAGUACCGUGAGGGAAAGGCGAAAAGAACCCCGGCGAGGGGAGUGAAACAGAACCUGAAACCGUGUACGUACAAGCAGUGGGAGCCUCUUUUAUGGGGUGACUGCGUACCUUUUGUAUAAUGGGUCAGCGACUUAUAUUCUGUAGCAAGGUUAACCGAAUAGGGGAGCCGGAGGGAAACCGAGUCUUAACCGGGCGUUAAGUUGCAGGGUAUAGACCCGAAACCCGGUGAUCUAGCCAUGGGCAGGUUGAAGGUUGGGUAACACUAACUGGAGGACCGAACCGACUAAUGUUGAAAAAUUAGCGGAUGACCUGUGGCUGGGGGUGAAAGGCCAAUCAAACCGGGAGAUAGCUGGUUCUCCCCGAAAGCUAUUUAGGUAGCGCCUCGUGAAUUCAUCUCCGGGGGUAGAGCACUGUUUCGGCCAGGGGGCCAUCCCGGCUUACCAACCCGAUGCAAACUGCGAAUACCGGAGAAUGUUAUCACGGGAGACACACGGCGGGUGCUAACGUCCGUCGUGAAGAGGGAAACAACCCAGACCGCCAGCUAAGGUCCCAAAGUCAUGGUUAAGUGGGAAACGAUGUGGGAAGGCCCAGACAGCCAGGAUGUUGGCUUAGAAGCAGCCAUCAUUUAAAGAAAGCGUAAUAGCUCACUGGUCGAGUCGGCCUGCGCGGAAGAUGUAACGGGGCUAAACCAUGCACCGAAGCUGCGGCAGCGACACUGUGUGUUGUUGGGUAGGGGAGCGUUCUGUAAGCCUGCGAAGGUGUGCUGUGAGGCAUGCUGGAGGUAUCAGAAGUGCGAAUGCUGACAUAAGUAACGAUAAUGCGGGUGAAAAACCCGCACGCCGGAAGACCAAGGGUUCCUGUCCAACGUUAAUCGGGGCAGGGUGAGUCGACCCCUAAGGCGAGGCCGAAAGGCGUAGUCGAUGGGAAACGGGUUAAUAUUCCCGUACCUGGUGUUACUGCGAAGGGGGGACGGAGAAGGCUAUGUUGGCCGGGCGACGGUUGUCCCGGUUUAAGCGUGCAGGCUGGUUUUCCAGGCAAAUCCGGAAAAUCAAGGCUGAGGCGUGAUGACGAGGCACUACGGUGCUGAAGCAACAAAUGCCCUGCUUCCAGGAAAAGCCUCUAAGCCUCAGGUAACAUCAGAUCGUACCCGAAACCGACACAGGUGGUCAGGUAGAGAAUACCAAGGCGCUUGAGAGAACCCGGGUGAAGGAACUAGGCAAAAUGGUGCCGUAACUUCGGGAGAAGGCACGCUGACACGUAGGUGAAGCGGUUUACCCGUGGAGCUGAAGUCAGUCGAAGAUACCAGCUGGCUGCAACUGUUUAUUAAAAACACAGCACUGUGCAAACACGAAAGUGGACGUAUACGGUGUGACGCCUGCCCGGUGCCGGAAGGUUAAUUGAUGGGGUCAGCGCAAGCGAAGCUCCUGAUCGAAGCCCCGGUAAACGGCGGCCGUAACUAUAACGGUCCUAAGGUAGCGAAAUUCCUUGUCGGGUAAGUUCCGACCUGCACGAAUGGCGUAAUGAUGGCCAGGCUGUCUCCACCCGGGACUCAGUGAAAUUGAACUCGCUGUGAAGAUGCAGUGUACCCGCGGCAAGACGGAAAGACCCCGUGAACCUUUACUAUAGCUUGACACUGAACACUGGUCCUUGAUGUGCAGGAUAGGUGGGAGGCUUUGAAGUGUGGACGCCAGUCUGCAUGGAGCCGUCCUUGAAAUACCACCCUUUAAUGGCUGGUGUUCUAACGUAGACCCGUGAACCGGGUUGCGGACAGUGUCUGGUGGGUAGUUUGACUGGGGCGGUCUCCUCCUAAAGCGUAACGGAGGAGCACGAAGGUUGGCUAAUCCUGGUCGGACAUCAGGAGGUUAGUGCAAUGGCAUAAGCCAGCUUGACUGCGAGCGUGACGGCGCGAGCAGGUGCGAAAGCAGGUCAUAGUGAUCCGGUGGUUCUGAAUGGAAGGGCCAUCGCUCAACGGAUAAAAGGUACUCCGGGGAUAACAGGCUGAUACCGCCCAAGAGUUCAUAUCGACGGCGGUGUUUGGCACCUCGAUGUCGGCUCAUCACAUCCUGGGGCUGAAGUAGGUCCCAAGGGUAUGGCUGUUCGCCAUUUAAAGUGGUACGCGAGCUGGGUUUAGAACGUCGUGAGACAGUUCGGUCCCUAUCUGCCGUGGGCGCUGGAGAACUGAGGGGGGCUGCUCCUAGUACGAGAGGACCGGAGUGGACGCAUCACUGGUGUUCGGGUUGUCAUGCCAAUGGCACUGCCCGGUAGCUAAAUGCGGAAGAGAUAAGUGCUGAAAGCAUCUAAGCACGAAACUUGCCCCGAGAUGAGUUCUCCCUGAGACUACAAGUCUCCUGAAGGAACGUUGAAGACGACGACGUUGAUAGGCCGGGUGUGUAAGCGCAGCGAUGCGUUGAGCUAACCGGUACUAAUGAACCGUGAGGCUUAACCUU
rnacentral:rRNA from 1 species